AUUCGAUACCAUUGAAGCCGUCAGAUAGAGGCCGUAUUUCAAAAGGUCUACGGUGGCUCCGUUUCUUCUCUGAGACUUCAAAAGUCCUUCAAGAGUGAGUUCCCGUCUCAUUCUAUGUCCAGGAUGAAGACGGAUGGCCUCUUGGCACCCAUCUCUUUGGCAUGAACGAUGUGGGGAAACGUGAAUGGAAAUGGGGAACUGUUGCUGGCACCCAGAAGUCAUCCGGUCCGGAUGAAGCCAAGUCACAAGGAAGUGCCUCCAAUUAUUCUUCAUAAAUUCCUCUGAGGUUUCACUUCUUGUCCACACAAGACUUUAAUAAAAUGUGGCAUCUAACUGA
rnacentral:lncRNA from 1 species